rnacentral:lncRNA from 1 species
UUUUUUUUUUUUUUUUUUUUGUCUUUUUAGGGCCACGCCCACAGCAUGUGGAGGUUCCCAGGCUAGGGGUUGAAUCGCAGCUGUAGCCACGGCCCUAUGCCACAGCCACAGCAACACCACAUCCAAGCCGCGUCUGCGACCUACACCAUAGCUCAGGGCAACGCCAGAUCCUUAACCCACUGAGGGAGGCUAUGGAUCGAACCUGUGUCCUCAUGGAUGCUAGUCAGAUUGGUUUCCGCUGAGCCACAGUGGGAACUCCCCAACCACUCCUUCUGAGACACCAAGUCCACUGAGGCCUUGUGCUCUUUUUUUCCCCGGCACUGGGAGACCAUCACCCACCCAUUCCCUCUUAAAUGAGCCCUGGCACUCACAGAGGAUGUGCCAGCCCACCCCUGCCUCGGCCCAACCACCCUCACCCCAACGUGCCAAAGCAGUUGCUACAGGGGCACGGCCCAAGCCUCCAGAAGCCUGGCCAAGACUCCCAGGUGAGGCCCACUGAGUUGACCUGGACCCUGGCUCUCUGUAGGGACUCUUGGGGAGGAAGGGGGUCCCCACGGGGUCUGGGCAAGCCAGCCGCCACCUGCCUGCACCAGUGACAGUCACUGGCCUCCUUACUGCUGGAGGUGAGAGAUGUAGCAGCGUGGGGGUGCAGGGCAGAGCUGCAGAAGGGGUCCCUCCCCGGGGCGGUACUUCCAACCUCUGGGGCACCACCCUCCUCUGCCCCAUCACCGAGGCGCACACCCGCUCUGCCCGGGCCCCUCUUGCCACCUGCCCGUUUUCAUGAGGCUUGGGACCUGGAGACCCCACCCCUGACGCCAGAACCAAUGAUUCCCUGCAGCCCCAGAAUCCCCUCCUACCCCUCAACUGGGAGAGCUGAGAGGAGCAGCCAAGCCUCCCCCAGACGGGGGGCUGGGUCUUCUCUGAGACCUGGGACACCCCACCCAGUGACUUGGGGGAGUGCCGGGAUCCCCCCUGCCCCCCAGAAGGAGGGUUCCUGAGGGUCCCGCCGGGAUUGGUUAGCCAGAGACACUGUGGGCCUGCAGGGGCCCUGGGGAGGCAGAGGUCGGGCCCCAGCCCCGGGCCCGGCAGGUCGUCCCUGGGUGUGGCCCCUCCUGGGGGCACGGAGGGCAGGCUGACUUGUGUUCCAGGGUGCAUGCUCUCUUGGGGUGUGGAGGACCAAAGUGGGGUGAUGGCGUGCUGGCUGCCGUGUGUGGCCCUGCGCGGGAGCCAGCCUACUGACAGCCAGCGGGGCAGAGCAGGCUCACCCUGGGGCCGCCCCGGGCGGGGAACCACCCGGACCUGAGACCCACAGCCCUCUGGACCCUGAGCUCCCCCGGGUGCUCCAUCCCAUGUCCAGGGCCAGGAGCCCUGAGCACAGCAGGCAAGGAGUGGGGCCAGCUCCUCGGAGCGGGGGGUGGGUUGGGGUGGAGGUAAGGCUAGGGGUACCCUCCCUGGACCUGGCUCACAUGCCCAGUUCCCCACUGUGGCCCUGGGCCAGCCCUCCACCCCAGGCUGCCCUUUCCUGAAAGAGAAGGGGGUGGCGACCCAGGGUGGGGGUGCAGCCAGCCCCGGCGAGGUCCGACCCCGGUCCACCGUGCCCCUGCCAGUGCCCCACUGGCCGCAUCCUCCUCUCCACCUCCUGGACCCCAACGCCUCCGGUCGUUGCAAACCACAGCUGCAGGUCCCGCCCCCCCCCCCCCAGCUGCAGCUCCUGGGGUCUCUCCAGCCUCCUGGGAGGAGCAGGUGGACGUGGAGCCUCACCCCACCUCCGAUCUCCACCUCCCACCCAGACGGCGGGUGGAGCCAGGCUCUGCAGGGCGGCUCUCCCUGAGAGUGAGCUGGGAGACCUGCAGAGACGUCUGAGGAUCUCAGCCGCCCCUGCGGAGUGGGGGUGCAGGCCUCUCGCUCCUGCCCAGGGUCAGAUCUUGGCACCAAGGAAACUUCUGGGGCCUAAUGGAGCCGUGGAGGCGUCCCAUCCUUUUAAUUUUUUUCUUUUCUUUUCUUUUUAGGGCCACACCUGUGACAUAUGGAGGCUCCCAGGCUAGGGGUCGAAAUGGAAGUACAGUUGCCAGCCUACACCACAGCCAUAGCAACUCCAGAUCUGAGCUGCAUCUGUGACCUACACCAUAGCUCAUGGCCACGCUGGAUCCUUGACCCACUGAGGGAGGCCAGGAAUCGAACCUGCGUCCUCAUGGAUACUAGUUGGGUUCUUAACUCACUGGGCCAUGAUGAGAUCUCCAAGGGAUCCCCAUCCUUGAGCCUUCCACACUUCCCACUGGACUCCAGGCCCCAGUCGGCCACUUGUCCUGCCCCAGGCCUGCCUGUGCUAGCCAGCACUGGCUGCCACCACCCUGGGGACAAGGUCGGGGCCAGCACAGGCCAGAUUGUUGAAGAGGUGAGUCUUGGGAUGGAUAUGGGGCUCCCUCUGCCCUGGAGUCCUGGCUCUUGAGCCCGCCCUCCUUAGGGACCUGGAGGCAGGACUGUCACAGCAGGGCCUCGCUCUCACACUACACCUGCAGGAGGUGCAGCAGCAGAAGCUUCCCUGAGGCCUAGAUCUGGGUGGGGAGGCCGCCUUUCCAGCCAGAGGGCAGUGGUGCCCAGGCCUCUCUCCCAGCAAGCCCCCCCCCGCCCCCCUGCGGCCCCUGGGCUUUUCCUUGGAAUCGGCUCUGGCUUCCAGUAAAAUAAACACAUUAACCACUUGGCUGGCCCAGGCUGUAGGCAGAGGCAGAGCCAGCUGCAGAGGCCAGCGCCCGCCCAGCUCAGCCUGCUGCGCCUGCACUCCCCACCCGGGGCUGGUGCUGGCACGGCUCGGGGUGAGCAUGUGGGUGGGAUUGGGGUGCUGUGGGGAGGAGAGUUUGGGGGGACGGGGCAGGCUCUGGCCUGGGCCUGGUGGGUGACCACCUGGAGGCCCAGGCUGGCUGCCACCACUCCGGCCAAGGUCAGUCACGAGGGGGUCACCCCAGCUCCCUCCUCCUUAUCCCACAGCCGCCCCCCUCGGGGGGCAAGGAACAGCAGCCUGGCUGGGGUGGGGGGAGGCCCGGCGUCUCUCCAGAGGGCUGGGUGUCCUCGCACCGUGUGGCAGCCGCCCCCAGAGGGAUGAUUCAAAGCAGCCUCGGAGGCUCUGCCGACUGGUCCCGGAAAGCCAGCGCCGUCACCCCGGCUGCCUCCUGUGGGCACAGUCCUCCAUCCAGGCCCCACUCGAAAGGAAAACUGGCUCCACUUUGGGAAUGCCCCGGAGGACACAGACCCUGGACCCUGAGAGGAAGGGGAGGGGUGGCAGGUGCCAGACUAGGAUUGCUGUCUGGGCCACGACCCCCGGUCCCCUGGCAAGGGCACCGCUGGUCCUUCCUUCCACCCCAGCCCAGAAGUCUCCAGGCAGUGCCCCUUCCAGGCGACGCCUGCAGUCCUGCUGCCUGCCGACCCCGAAGCGGGAAGCAGCGCCGGAGGGCGAAGCAAAGGCCACGUGCUUGCUUUUAGAAAAGUACCCGCGUGGCCUGGGAGCGACAGAGGCCCACGCCCCCGGGGGUCAGUUGAGGUUAUGUUCACAUAACACGCACUUAGUAUGUAAAGUGUGCAACUCAGUGGCGUCCGUGCACUCCCAGUAUUGUGCAAACACCAGCCCUCGCUCGUCUCAGAACUUCUUCACCACCCCGUAAAGACCCUCCCCGGAUCCGAGACGUCGUCGCGCCCCGUUUCUCGCUCCCGAAUCCUCCGGGAAUGGCUGACCCGCGCCGCCCCCGUGGACCCGCCUCGUCCGGGUCCGCCACGUGAAAAGCACCCGGGGAGGGGGGCCGGCGGCCUUUGUGUCUGGCUGCUUUCACGCUGCAGUGUCCUCAGGUCCACGCACGUUGCCUCUGCCCCUUCACUCCCUUUAGGGGUGAACGCCAGCCCACAGUUGGAGGUCCAGUUCUCCGUGGACAUUGGGGUCAUUUCCCCCUUUUGGAGAUUGUCAGUAACGUGUCUAUGAACAGGAAAGGUUUUUAGU